GGCGCUAUGGCUUAGUUGGUUAAAGCGCCUGUCUAGUAAACAGGAGAUACUGAGUUCGAAUCUCAGUGGUGCCU
rnacentral:tRNA from 1 species